GACGAACGCUGGCGGCGUGCUUAACACAUGCAAGUCGAACGGAAAGGCCCCUUUGGGGGUCCUCGAGUGGCGCACGGGUGAGUAACACGUGAGUAACCUGCCCUUGACUUCGGUAUAACUUCAGGAAACUGGGGCUAAUACCGGAUAGGAAUCCUUGCUGCAUGGUGGGGGUUGGAAAGUUUCGGCGGUUUUGGAUGGACUCGCGGCUUAUCAGCUUGUUGGUGGGUUAGUGGCUUACCAAGGCUUUGACGGGUAGCCGGCCUGAGAGGGCGACCGGCCACAUUGGGACUGAGAUAAGGCCCAGACGCCUACGGGAGGAAGCAGUGGGGAAUAUUGCACAAGGGGCGGAAGCCGGAUGCAGCAACGCCGCGGGCGGGAUGACGGCCUUCGGGUUGAAAACCGCUUUCAGCAGGGGCGAAGCUUGUGGUGACGGUACCUGCAGAAGAAGCACCGGCUAACUACGUG
rnacentral:rRNA from 1 species